CAUCGCAGAAGCACUUCCGGCGUCAAGAGCUUCUAGAUAAACCGUUCGGUUUGUGAAGCUGAGUUGUUUGAAUUGUUAAGCGUUGAGGGUAGAAGGACGUAUAGAGGUGAACCAUAUACACUAUCGGGAAGCGUUCAGUCACGCUAGAGGAUUAAUAAAAAGCAGCUGUCAAUAUAAAGACUUGGGGGAAAAGCUUGCUGCCCAAACUAUCAAACAAAGGUGUUUUACAUGUAUGCUGCUGGCCAAAACCACCAAAAUAGAAUUUGGCGCUUUCCAUUUUCAAACUUGCUGCCCAAACCAAAAUUGGCGCCAUUCAUUUCAGUUUAGUUGUCAUUUCAUUUUGAAUUUUAUUUCAGAUCUGAGGCUCUUAUUUCCCUAUAAAUAAGAGACCUCUUUCACCAUGUAAAGGACUUUUGAGCUUAGUAAAUUGCUGCUGAAAUUAACUUCCAGCCCUAUUGCUCUUGAGUCAUUUAUUCUCUCUACUUUCUCUUCCCUUUCCUCUAGCUUCCUUCCAUUGUAGGAAGGCCUUCUGAGCUGUGAGGUUCCCACACAUACUCAUUCCACUCAAACACACCAACCAUCAAUCAAUCUCACUCAAUUUCCGCUACAUCCACACUGCUGAUUUCAAUCCGCUGCACCAAUACUGUUCUCGGUUUUUGAAGCUUUGUUUGCAAGGCCUAGGUCAUUCUAAGCAUGGCUAAGCAUCCAUCAAGUGGUAUCAGAGCUUAGGUCGUCCACGCACCAAGAGCUAAGCUAUUUCAUCCAUUUUUAUUCCAAUUCUGUUUCUGUUUUUGCAUUUUGUCCAGUUUUUAUUCCAGCACUGUUUCCAUUUUGUUUUGGUUCUGUUCUUCUAAAUUUGGUGUGUUUAAUCAUUGUUCGGUGUGCUUCCAUUCUGUUAUCAUGUUUAUCCUUUAUUUUAAACGGUGAAUUUUCUUUGUUUGAGUAAUUUCCAGCUUUAAUUUUCAAUUUCAGUGUUGUCUUGGUCAUGUGCAAGUGAAUAUUGCAGUUUUAAUUUCUGUCACUGCUUUGGUAUUCUUUUCUGCUGGUUUAAUUCGUUUUGCUUGAGUUCAAGUGCUAGAUAAGCUAUAUAUCAACCAAUAAAGGCAAUGCGAAUUUGUUCUAGCCUUGGUGAUACAAGCUAAAGCACUAGAAAUCCAUUUUGAUUUCAAAUCUGUGUUGAACUCUGCUGCAAAAUUUCAAUUCUGUUUUUAAAUCAUGAAUCUGUUUUCCAGAUGAUUUCUUUUUAUUCUAGUGCUUUAUACAAAUUUGGUUAAUGAUAUUGAAUGAUGCUAAAAGUGUAGCAGACCAUUACAAGCAAUGAAAUGCAAUUUGCAUAGCUUGGUUGCUCACAAUUAAUAGCAUUCCACUGUUUCAAUUUUUAAUCCAAGCUUUUCACCGUGCUAAGUUUCUUUGAAUUUUCUAAUCUGAGUUUGGUCAUGCUAAGCACAUUAAAUCUAGCUUAUAUCUGUGUUUUUACACUUCUUAGAGUCAUUUCCUUUGUUGUCCAGUUUUUGAAUCCAUGAAAAACUAAAAGUGGUUGGUUAAUUGAUGGUUUUUGCUGCAUAAUUUGGCCAUAGCAAGGGUGAUUUUCGAAUCCUGCUGUUUCUGUGCUGUUGGAAAGCUUGAGCAAGUCUAAAUGGAUCUUUGAAAGUUGUUAAUACUGCUCAUUUGGUCAAAACUGAAUUUACAUGCAUAUUGGAUAUUUAAAGCAUCAUUUUUGAGUUAAAAUUGGAAGUGGAUCAGUGAUUCUGAAUAUUAAUCAUUGUUUCAGCUGUUUAAGAGUUUAAACAUGUUUAAUAUCACCAAGAAAAGUUGUUUGAACAUUCAUCAAAGUUUUUGAAUCACUGCCACUCAUUUUGGGUUCCAAAACCACCAUUUUAAUUCAUUUUUCUGGUGCAGUUUCUGUUUUUUCAGCCAUUGUUUUGGUAAUUUUAGUGUAAAAUUCAUUGCUGGAUUGUGAAAAAGUUGGUUCAAUGUUUAAAAAAAUGAAAAUACAUGAUCAAAAGAAGAAGUAUCAAGUGUUAAAAAGCUGUUAGAACCAACCAAUCCAGAUUACAAGUCUUGAAAAACAAAGCUGAAACUCAGUGAGGCAUUUUAUCAAACACUUUUGAAAAUUAUCAAACAGUUUGUAUUGGAAGAAUUUCUGAACUGUGCUUGUGUUUUUCUUGCUUUCUUCAUCCAUUCUAGUGCCUUUGAUAAGUUCCUUUUGUGUACCUUUCAUUGGUGUGCUGUUCCAAAUUGCUGUGUCUAUUUUGUUUGGCAUCCUAAGUUUCAAAACAGCAGCAUAGUUUGGUGCAAACAGUAGCAUAGUUUGGUGCAGAUUUUUAAACUGAUUCGUGUGAUUUUGCUGAGUUUUGGAGUGUAUGUGCAAGCUGUUUGGGGCAUCCAGCACCAGAAUCCUUCUCCUACUUUGGUAGCCUCCUAGGAAGUGGUUUGAGCAUUGAAAGUGGAGCAAGAAGGAAGACUCAACAGCAGCUAAACAUCACUGUCCAGCAAGCUGUAAAUUCUGUUACAGCAGCAACUUGCAUCUCCAAUUCAAUUAGCUUUAUGCAGCAACAAGAAGACAAAGUUUUCAUUAAAUUCUUGGCCUCAUUUCAAGUCUAUAUCACGGAAUUUGCUGUUUGAAAAGUGUAUUUCAGUUUACUUUUGCUGUUUUGAGUUAAGUGACUUGGGAAAAUGCUCUUGAAGCAAUUCCAAUUUCACAAUUGAAUAUUGUAAUAGUCCAAUUUCGUUUUCUUUAGUGUGGAAGUGUGUCAAGGGGCUCCAAGUGUCACUUGCACUUUCACUUAGGGCCGUCUAGCAUUUAUAUUCUUGCAUCUUUAUUGUUUUCAUUACUUUGUUGCUUAAUCUUUUUGCCUCCGUGAUAUAUAGGAUUGCAUAGCAUUUAGACAACCUUUCUUUGGUUAUAGGUUCAUUUCAUAACAUUUGAAAAGAAUUUGAAGAAUUUCUAAUUAGAAACUUAGGUAAAAGAUAACUCUAAGGAAACUCUGACUAAGGAAGAACUUGGUUUUUAAACUUGUCCAUUAGUGACUCACCUCUUCUUCCUGAGGGCUACUUAGAAACAUCUUUCACCUUUAGAAUCUCUUUAGAAAUUUUUCACCAAAAACAAAGAAAAAAAUUGUGAAAAUCUUUUCAUUCAUUACUUGUCAAAUAUUUUGAAAACCUUGUAAAAACCUUUUUCAUUUGACAAGAAUGAGUCAAUCAAGUGUGCAAGGUAGCAUCA